rnacentral:rRNA from 1 species
UAAUACGUAGGGGGCGAGCGUUGUCCGAAUUCACUGGGCGUAAAGCGCGCGUAGGCGGAUUUUUAAGUUGGGGGUGAAAUCCCGAGGCUCAACCUCGGAACUGCCUUCAAAACUGGAAGUCUUGAGGUAUGGAGAGGGAAGUGGAAUUCCUGGUGUAGCGGUGAUAUGCGUAGAUAUCAGGAGGAACACCCGUGGCGAAGGCGGCUUCCUGGCCAUAUCCUGACGCUGAGGUGCGAAAGCUAGGGGAGCGAACGGG